rnacentral:rRNA from 1 species
AUGCACGCUGGCGGCGUGCCUAAUCCAUGCACGUCGCGCGAACAGACGAGGAGCUUGCUCCUCUGACGUUAGCGGCGGACGGGUGAGUAACACGUGGAUAACCUACCUAUAAGACUGGGAUAACUUCGGGAAACCGGAGCUAAUACCGGAUAAUAUAUUGAACCGCAUGGUUCAAUAGUGAAAGACGGUUUUGCUGUCACUUAUAGAUGGAUCCGCGCCGCAUUAGCUAGUUGGUAAGGUAACGGCUUACCAAGGCAACGAUGCGUAGCCGACCUGAGAGGGUGAUCGGCCACACUGGAACUGAGACACGGUCCAGACUCCUACGGGAGGCAGCAGUAGGGAAUCUUCCGCAAUGGGCGAAAGCUUGACGGAGCAACGCCGCGUGAGUGAUGAAGGUCUUCGGAUCGUAAAACUCUGUUAUUAGGGAAGAACAAAUGUGUAAGUAACUAUGCACGUCUUGACGGUACCUAAUCAGAAAGCCACGGCUAACUACGUG